rnacentral:ribozyme from 1 species
AACAGGAAGAAAAUAUGACACAAGUACCUCAACAAUGAUGAGGACAUCAUUUUUUGCUUAUUGCUGUUGCAUGUCCUUAUUUCUUAUUCUACUAUGAUUUUUUCAUUAUUUCUAAAGAACAAGCACAAUGCAUAGAAGAGGAUUUCUCUGAUCGUCGUCAUCAGUAA